AGACUAGAUAACGAGACAUUCAAAAAGGAGGGUCGUUCAACAUCAGCUGUGUUUUAUUGAAUGGUAAUGAUCGCAUUUCAAUAAACGUCCAAUUACGCCAAACGCGCCCUAAGCUUCUACAGACUGCAUUGCGUCACUACGGAAGUAGUAAUGGACAAAUCACAAUGGUGGUCUAUAUAGUAGUAUACCAAUUGGCAAUUAACAGUAUACGCAAUUCAUUCGAAUGGAGACAUAUUGCGCGAACACAAGUUUUUGUCCACCGCUCUAUGUACUGGCUAAUAAAUAAAGCAAAAUAUUAACGUUGCCACUUCUUCUAUGAGUUUAACUCUUCUUUAUGGCUCUGAGCUCUUGGUCUCCUAGAAGGAAUGACGUCUAAGUUUAGUAGCUGACGAGAAACGAGAAAACGAUGUUCAUACUAGUGAAAGAGAUAAGUUCAAAAUGGAAGUAUAUUUUGUCAUAUUAGUCUUGAUCGAAAGUGAAAUGAGAAAAAAUGUACCGCUUACAUCAAUUUUAUUAUGCAUUAAAUGAAGACAACACAUGAGGGAUGACAGAAUGACAAAGAGGAAAUUAAGCAUGAUACAAAGAUCUGCUACUAUAUUAUAGACCAUAUUAUUAAUUUUAAUAUUUUAUAAAAUGUUAUUAAGUAAAAAAAUAUGUUAUUAUUUGUUUAGUAUAUUAAUAAAUACUUAGUAUCUUAUGUACUAAACCCUAGUAUAAAGUU